GACGAACGCUGGCGGCGUGCCUAAUACAUGCAAGUCGAACGCAGUUGCGAACGGGUGAGUAACGCGUGGGUAAAUGCCUGGUAGCGGGGGAUAACUAUUGGAAACGAUAGCUAAUACCGCAUACUACCAGAUGGAUCUGCGUUGUAUUAGCUAGUUGGUGGGGUAACGGCUCACCAAGGAAACGAUGCGUACCCGAACUGGGAGGGGGGUCGGCCACACCGGGACUGAGACACGGCACAGACUCCUUCGGGAGGCAGCAGGAGGGAAACUGCGGCGAUGGGGGGAACCCUGGCCGUGCAAAGCCGCGGGGGUGAAGAAAGUUUUCGGAUCGGAAAGCUCUGUUGGUAAGGAAGCGGUACUUAACCAGAAAGGGACGGCUAACUACGUGCCAGCAGCCGCGGUAAUAC
rnacentral:rRNA from 1 species